rnacentral:rRNA from 1 species
GACGAACGCUGGCGGCGUGCUUAACACAUGCAAGUCGAACGGAAAGGCCCUGCUUUUGUGGGGUGCUCGAGUGGCGAACGGGUGGGUAAAACGUGAGUAACCUGCCCUUGACUUUGGGAUAACUUCAGGAAACUGGGGCGAAUACCGGAUAGGAGCUCCUGCUGCAUGGUGGGGGUUGGAAAGUUUCGGCGGUUGGGGAUGGACUCGCGGCUUAUCAGCUUGUUGGUGGGGUAGUGGCUUACCAAGGGUUUGACGGGUAGCCGGCCUGAGAGGGUGACCGGCCACAUUGGGACUACGAGACGGCGCAGACUCCAACGGGAGGCAGCAGUGGGGAAUAUUGCACAGCAGCCGGAAGCCUGUGACAGCGACGCCGCGUGCGUGAUGACGGCCUUCGGGUUGUAAACCACUUUCGCCGGUGACGAAGCGUGAGUGACGGUAAUUGGUAAAGAAGCACCGGCUAACUACGUG